UGCUCUUAAUCCACAUUAUAAAAUGAGAUUAUCAGCUCUAAAAAAGGUCAUUUCUAAAUGCUAUUUCAAAAAUCCCUGUCCGACCCGACCAUUUCCCGCGCAAAACAAUGGAACGAUAUACGGCAGUACCCGCGUGUCCCCUUGUUUACACUACGCAGACUGGCUGAGUUUAGCAGAGAGAAGCAGAGAGGCAUGAGCAGAGUGAGAGAGAAGCAACAAGUGACCGCUGGUCUUUUCCUUGAAGAAAUCAAUUUGUUUGAAUUAUUUUGAAGUUAUGGUGGAAACUGGAGCUGGACUGGUAAACAGAGAAAGGACAGAAGAGAUGAAGAAAGCAAACAGGAGAGUGACAGAGCCCAGUCUGAAGCACUUCAGAAUAGCUUCUCAGAGAUGGAGAGAACUAAAGGAGUUAAAAUGACUGAAAACAGAUGCUGGGUGGAUCCUCUUCCUUGAAACAGCUGUGAUCAUGGGCCACUUGAUGAGAGCAGCAGAGAUAAGCCAUGGAUGGUGUGAGGCUCUCCAUCACAUCAGGCUCAUGCAUCCAUCUUCCCUGAUAAACGCUGACUGAAGGAUGUGGAGAAGUUUACCAACUUUCACACAGCACAACACCUGACCUGGAAUCCUUUCAGAACCACAUCCUCUUGUAUGCUGCAAAAUGCUUUUCAUUCAGCUCACCAGUGUAUGAGGCGCACACUCCUCUGGCACCACACCCACAGGCCUGCAGCCCUGACUCUGAUGGUAACAAUAAAGGAAUACUUGGAAGGUGAUUGAAAUCUGGGAAGAGACUUCCCAAAACAAGAACACUAAGACCUGAUGAUCAAGGAAGACUUGGACAUCUUCCUGGGAUUCCUCCACCACCUCCAACAGAACUAGCACAAGCACGCAUCCAAAGCAGAGAAGUUUGUACACAUAACCUGCCUGUAUGAAAAGUGUAAAGUUGUAUCAUCAUACACCGUGUAACAGAUAUGUGAAUAAUGUGAAGAACUGUAAAUAUUGUAUAUUGAAAAUAAAACACAAG